rnacentral:rRNA from 1 species
ACACAUGCAAGUCGAACGGAAUAUUUUUCUACUUCAAGUUUUCUGCUUGUUUGAGGAAAGCGUCAAUCAGUGCGCAGCACUGAUUUAGGCCUUUUAGUAAACCAACACAUACAGAAAAAGAACGAGCGGAAGAUUUGAAGUAGAAAAAUAUUUAGUGGCGAACGGGUGAGUAACGCGUGAGGAACCUGCCUCAAAGAGGGGGACAACAGUUGGAAACGACUGCUAAUACCGCAUAAGCCCACGGUCUCGCAUGGGACAGAGGGAAAAGGAGCAAUCCGCUUUGAGAUGGCCUCGCGUCCGAUUAGCUAGUUGGUGAGGUGACGGCCCACCAAGGCAACGAUCGGUAGCCGGACUGAGAGGUUGAACGGCCACAUUGGGACUGAGACACGGCCCAGACUCCUACGGGAGGCAGCAGUGGGGAAUAUUGCACAAUGGGGGAAACCCUGAUGCAGCGACGCCGCGUGGAGGAAGAAGGUCUUCGGAUUGUAAACUCCUGUUGUUGGGGAAAAAGAGGAUGGUACCCAACAAGGAAGUGACGGCUAACUACGUGCCAGCAGCCGCGGUAAAACGUAGGUCACGAGCGUUGUCCSSAAUUACUGGUGUGUAAAGGGAGCGCAGGCGGGUAUGCAAGUUGGGAGUGAAAUACAUGGGCUCAACCCAUGAACUGCUCUCAAAACUGUGUAUCUUGAGUAGUGCAGAGGUAGGCGGAAUUCCCGGUGUAGCGGUGGAAUGCGUAGAUAUCGGGAGGAACACCAGUGGCGAAGGCGGCCUACUGGGCACCAACUGACGCUGAGGCUCGAAAGUGUGGGUAGCAAACAGGAUUAGAUACCCUGGUAGUCCACACCGUAAACGAUGAUUACUAGGUGUUGGAGGAUAGACCCCUUCAGUGCCGSAGUUAACACAAUAAGUAAUCCACCUGGGGAGUACGACCGCAAGGUUGAAACUCAAAGGAAUUGACGGGGGCCCGCACAAGCAGUGGAGUAUGUGGUUUAAUUSGACGCAACGCGAAGAACCUUACCAAGUCUUGACAUCCUGCGACGAGUACAGAAAUGUGCUUUUCCUUCGGGACGCAGAGACAGGUGGUGCAUGGUUGUCGUCAGCUCGUGUCGUGAGAUGUUGGGUUAAGUCCCGCAACGAGCGCAACCCUUAUGGAUAGUUACUACGCAAGAGGACUCUAUUCAGACUGCCGUUGACAAAACGGAGGAAGGUGGGGAUGACGUCAAAUCAUCAUGCCCUUUAUGACUUGGGCUACACACGUACUACAAUGGCGUUCAACAAAGAGAAGCGAAAUCGCGAGAUGGAGCAAAACUCAAAAACAACGUCCCAGUUCAGAUUGCAGGCUGCAACUCGCCUGCAUGAAGUCGGAAUUGCUAGUAAUCGCAGAUC